rnacentral:rRNA from 1 species
UACAGAGGUCCCAAGCGUUGUUCGGAUUCACUGGGCGUAAAGGGUGCGUAGGUGGUGGGGUAAGUCUGAUGUGAAAUCUCCGAGCUUAACUCGGAAACUGCAUCGGAUACUAUCUUGCUCGAGGGUUGGAGGGGGGACUGGAAUACUUGGUGUAGCAGUGAAAUGCGUAGAUAUCAAGUGGAACACCAGCGGCGAAGGCGAGUCCCUGGACAACUCCUGACACUGAGGCACGAAAGCUAGGGGAGCAAACAGG